rnacentral:rRNA from 1 species
CCAAGGAGUCUAACAUGUGCGCGAGUCAUGGGGUUCUACGAAACCUAAAGGCACAAUGAAAGUGAAGGCCGCCUCCGGUUGGCCCAGGUAGGAUCCGUCGAUCCGUCGGCGGCGCACUACCGGCCCGUUCCGUCCGCGCUGUCGGUGGAGCGGAGCAAGAGCGUACACGUUGGGACCCGAAAGAUGGUGAACUAUGCCUGAGUAGGACGAAGCCAGAGGAAACUCUGGUGGAGGUCCGUAGCGAUUCUGACGUGCAAAUCGAUCGUCAAACUUGGGUAUAGGGGCGAAAGACUAAUCGAACCAUCUAGUAGCUGGUUCCCUCCGAAGUUUCCCUCAGGAUAGCUGGCACUCUCGAAGGCAGUUUUAUCCGGUAAAGCGAAUGAUUAGAGGCCUUGGGGACGAAACGACCUCAACCUAUUCUCAAACUUUAAAUGGGUAAGAAGUCCGUCUCGCUCGAAUGGAGUCGGACAUCGAAUGCGAGUGCCCAGUGGGCCACUUUU